rnacentral:lncRNA from 1 species
UACACAACAAACACGUGAUAUGUUCAUUAGCUAAAUGCAGAACUCAGUGCUGUACCCCUUCCUCCCUGUGCUUAAGGGCGUGAAAUUAAGAAGCACAGGUGUUUUGAGUCACUUUUAUUACAUUAACAGCACCAGAAACAGCACAACCUAUUGCAGCUGCUUUGACACAGCCGUUAAUUUUCACUUGCGGCUGUGGCAAUUAGAAAGUGUACUUAAUAGAGUGUCAUGUUAAUUGUUGCAGAGUUAACCAAUUUCUCCAUUUAAUUGUCAAUUGAUUAACCUAUUGAAAUGGAGGAAGAAUUCCCUCUACGUAGUUCCGUCGCCUUUUAUCUGAAGGCUGCUCCACGCGACAGCGCGUUUUCAGGCUUUAUUCUUACAGAACCAUCCUAAAAACGCGCUUGUGCUCUACGAGGAAGAUUGCAACCUUCUCAAUUCCAAUACGGCGCUGUCAUUUAAUUACGAGACAAUCCACCACAACUGAGCAAGCAUUUUCAUCAUUGAUAAUGUUGGUAGCAGGCAACUGAGACAAAAUGAUUACAAACCUAUGUUGCGCUCAAUAGUCCUUUAGAGGAUUUCUCUCUUAAUAGCGCUGCCUCAUUCAUGUUUGGUUCAGUACAUUUGUUCUUUAAAAAAAGGCAUAGAUUAGAAGAGUUUCAGGGUAGGUUAAUAACUCAACUGAAAAUGGCUGCUCGCAUUGUCAAAGUCUGUUCCUGCAGUUGCCUGGUGCUUUCUUCAGUUCUUCCACACUGCAGCUUUGGCCCAGUUGGGUUCCUGCUUCCCAGGCAAGGAGGAUGCUUGUGGCAGCUGACAAAGGCACGGGGAGUGCUGGUGCUGCAAGCCAUGAAUGAGACGAAGGUAUCCCAGAAUACCCCGGACAUCGGGCCGUACUUCCUGCUGGCUGGGAAGGACAAAAGGACAAAGCUGAAGGAGUGCCGGGGUCCCACCACCAGCUCUUGGAGGCACCAGUCUGCUACCAACAGCACUCCAACCCUCGGAGAAUGCUAAUAAGCCACUGAAGAGCUCAGCUUUCCUGCCAUAAUUCUAUAGCGCCGUCGAGGACCCCAUAGUGUUCACUAAAUAAAGACAACUAAUUGAGAAUUUUUUGCA